rnacentral:sRNA from 1 species
GUUUAGCCCCGAUAGCGGUGAAAAUCCUUGUUGCCUGGAGUUCGGGUAACAAGAUUACUUCGUCAGUUCGCUAUCGCUCGUGUGUAACGAAAAGCGGGACGAUGC